rnacentral:rRNA from 1 species
UACGUAGGGGGCAAGCGUUAUCCGGAUUUACUGGGUGUAAAGGGGGCGUAGACGGCGAUGCAAGUCUGAAGUGAAAGCCCGGGGCUCAACCCCGGGACUGCUUUGGAAACUGUAUGGCUGGAGUGCUGGAGAGGCAAGCGGAAUUCCUAGUGUAGCGGUGAAAUGCGUAGAUAUUAGGAAGAACACCAGUGGCGAAGGCGGCUUGCUGGACAGUAACUGACGUUGAGGCUCGAAAGCGUGGGGAGCAAACAGG